rnacentral:rRNA from 1 species
CCUACGUGUGGCAGCAGUGAGGAAUAUUGGUCAAUGGGCGCGAGCCUGAACCAGCCAAGUAGCGUGAAGGAUGACUGCCCUACGGGUUGUAAACUUCUUUUAUAAAGGAAUAAAGUGAGGCACGUGUGCCUUUUUGUAUGUACUUUAUGAAUAAUGAUCGUCUAACUCCGUUCCAGCAGCCGCGUUAAUACGGAGGAUCCGAGCGUUAUCCGGGUUUAUUGGGUUUAAAGGGAGCGUAGAUGGGUUGUUAAGUCAGUUGUGAAAGUUUGCGGCUCAACCGUAAAAUUGCAAUUGAUACUGGCAGCCUUGAGUACAGUUGAGGUAGGCGGAAUUCGUGGUGGAGCGGUGAAAUGCUUAGAUAUCACGAAGAACUCCGAUUGCGAAGGCAGCUUACUAAACUGCCACUGACAUUGAUGCUCGAAAGUGUGGGUAUCAAACAGGAUUAGAUACCCCAGUAGUC